GAUGAACGCUGGCGGCGUGCCUAAUACAUGCAAGUCGAGCGAACGGACGAGAAGCUUGCUUCUCUGAUGUUAGCGGCGGACGGGUGAGUAACACGUGGAUAACCUACCUAUAAGACUGGGAUAACUUCGGAAAACCGGAGCUAAUACCGGAUAAUAUUUUGAACCGCAUGGUUCAAAAGUGAAAGACGGUCUUGCUGUCACUUAUAGAUGGAUCCGCGCUGCAUUAGCUAGUUGGUAAGGUAACGUCUUACCAAGGCAACGAUGCAUAGCCGACCUGAGAGGGUGAUCGGCCACACUGGAACUGAGACACGGUCCAGACUCCUACGGGAGGCAGCAGUAGGGAAUCUUCCGCAAUGGGCGAAAGCCUGACGGAGCAACGCCGCGUGAGUGAUGAAGGUCUUCGGAUCGUAAAACUCUGUUAUUAGGGAAGAACAUAUGUGUAAGUAACUGUGCACAUCUUGACGGUACCUAAUCAGAAAGCCACGGCUAACUACGUG
rnacentral:rRNA from 1 species